rnacentral:rRNA from 1 species
AAGACCUUGCGCUUUUGGAGCGGCCGAUGCCUGAUUAGCUUGUUGGUAAGGUAAAAGCUUACCAAGGCUUCGAUCAGUAGCUGGUCUGAGAGGACGACCAGCCACACUGGGACUGAGACACGGCCCAGACUCCUACGGGAGGCAGCAGUGGGGAAUUUUGGACAAUGGGGGCAACCCUGAUCCAGCCAUGCCGCGUGAGUGAAGAAGGCCUUCGGGUUGUAAAGCUCUUUCAGCCGGAACGAAACGGUUACGGAUAACACCCGUGACUACUGACGGUACCGGAAGAAGAAGCACCGGCUAACUACGUGCCAGCAGCCGCGGUAAUACGUAGGGUGCGAGCGUUAAUCGGAAUUACUGGGCGUAAAGCGUGCGCAGGUGGUUUUGUAAGCCAGAUGUGAAAUCCCCGGGCUUAACCUGGGAACU